rnacentral:tRNA from 1 species
GGGGUUGUGGCUCAGCAGUAGAGCGCUCGCCUCACAUCUGCGGGACCCUGGGUUCGAUCCUCAGCACCACA